GGUUGUUGAUCAGUGGUAGAGUGCUUGCCUAGCAAGUGUGAGGGACUGGGUUCGAUUCUCAGCACUG
rnacentral:tRNA from 1 species